AAGAAAAAAAAAGAAACGUAGAAUAACAAUAUGUCACCCCAACUCCGUUGAGGGUGCCAUAACUAGAUUUGUAAUUGCUAGCAAUAACGGAUGGCACCCUCGUCCCCCCAUUGCCAGGCGAGCGGCAGCCAUUUUGAAAAUUCCAAAGUCAAAGAGUGCAUCUACACCUGCAAGUUAUCAUUUUUGCAAAAUUUCAUUAAGUUUGGAGCAUUUU
rnacentral:lncRNA from 1 species